rnacentral:lncRNA from 1 species
GUUCCAACAAGGUCACAGGCCCACAAGAUGUGAGGACAGAGAGGGAGCAACCUUCUUGUGAUCAUGAGGAUGAGAGUCAUAUGAAAAGCAGCAGAGGGAAAAAUACAAGGAGCAUGAGACCCGGAGGGAACCACCAAGCCAGCCCUGGACUUUCUGCCUCUGGACUUUUGACCUGUUCUUCACUCUUACGUGCACACUCCUCAAGGGCAGAGGCCAUAUCUACAUCAAUGAAUGAAUGAAUGCUCAUCUCAUAAAACAUACUGUGAGCUUAGAGACUAUGCUUUUUGCUGAAGGAGAUGUCUGAAGAGGAAAAGCCAUGAGAGGACACAGUGAGAAGGUGGCCAUUUACGAGCCAGGAUGAGAGCCCUCAUCAGAAACCGAAUUUAGUUGCACUUUGAUCAUGGACUUCUAGCCUCCAGAAUGGUGAGAAAAUAAAUGUCUGUUGUCUAAGCUA